UACAGAGGUCCCAAGCGUUGUUCGGAUUUACUGGGCGUAAAGGGUGCGUAGGUGGUCGGGUAAGUCUCAUGUGAAAUCCCGCAGCUUAACUGCGGAACGGCAUGGGAUACUAUUCGGCUCGAGGAUUGGAGGGGGGACUGGAAUUCCCGGUGUAGCAGUGAAAUGCGUAGAUAUCGGGAGGAACACCUAUGGCGAAAGCAGGUUUCUGGGCCAUCACUGACGCUGAGCUGCGAAAGCUAGGGGAGCAAACAGG
rnacentral:rRNA from 1 species